GAACCUUCAACUCUCAAAGUA
rnacentral:misc_RNA from 1 species